CCGCCGCGGUAAUACGUAGGGUGCGAGCGUUAAUCGGAAUUACUGGGCGUAAAGCGUGCGCAGGCGGUUGUGUAAGACAGGUGUGAAAUCCCCGGGCUUAACCUGGGAACUGCGCUUGUGACUGCACAGCUAGAGUAUGGCAGAGGGGGGUGGAAUUCCACGUGUAGCAGUGAAAUGCGUAGAGAUGUGGAGGAACACCGAUGGCGAAGGCAGCCCCCUGGGCCAAUACUGACGCUCAUGCACGAAAGCGUGGGGAGCAAACAGGAUUAGAUACCCCCGUAGUCCCUGUCUCUUAUACACA
rnacentral:rRNA from 1 species